AUCUCAGGUUUGUCAGCCCGCAA
rnacentral:miRNA from 8 species